AUUUAAAUCAAUAUAUUUUAUUUGGAAAAUUGAUCCUUUUACUUAAAAAAUGUAAUUUUUAUUACAUCAAAUUAGUUCAGUCCAUAUUACCAAGUUUCACAAAGGAUAUUCAUGGUGGUGGAGUUGAAUAGAGACCAUGAUUGUUCAAGUCCACCAUGGAUUGACCAAUCAAAAGGUUGAGAAGUGGUCUUUAAUAAUUGUUCCUAGACCCUUCCUGGAAAAUCUGAAGGUAUACGAACAGCAAUUGAACACAGUUCUUCAGAUAGUCGGCAAAUGCUUCGUCAUCCUACAACUUUAUCACAUUUUAGAUCAAUGCAGCCAUCAGCAACUUUUUGUGGUCCCACAUUUUUUUUUUUU
rnacentral:lncRNA from 1 species